rnacentral:misc_RNA from 1 species
CGGAAACACGGUGCCGGAUAACGUCCGGCGGGGGCGACCCCAGGGAAAGUGCCACAGAAAGGAAACCGCCCCGCUUUCUCAACUGCCCGAUGGGCAGCUGAGAUGGCGGGGUAAGGGUGAAAGGGUGGGGUAAGAGCCCACCGCGCCUCUGGUAACAGCGGCGGCAUGGUAAACCCCACCGGGAGCAAGACCGAAUAGGGAUGACGCGAGCCCGCGAAAGCGAGGCUACAGCCUGUUUCCGGGCCAGUCAUCCGGGUGGGUUGCGUGAGGCGAUGUGCAAACGUCGUCCCAGACGAAUGGCUGCCACGUUCCGGUGCUUGCAUCGGGG